AUUGAACGCUGGCGGCAGGCCUAACACAUGCAAGUCGAACGAGUGGCGGACGGGUGAGUAAUGUCUGGGAAACUGCCUGAUGGAGGGGGAUAACUACUGGAAACGGUAGCUAAUACCGCAUACCAUCAGAUGUGCCCAGAUGGGAUUAGCUUGUUGGUGGGGUAACGGCUCACCAAGGCGACGAUCCCUAGCUGGUCUGAGAGGAUGACCAGCCACACGGAAUGUGAGACACGGCACAGACUCCUAGGAGAGGCAGCAGGGGGGAAUAUUGCAAAAUGGGCGCAAGCCAGAUGCAGCCAUGCCGCGUGUAUGAAGAAGGCCUUCGGGUUGUAAAGUACUUUCAGCGGAGAAACGUUACCCGCAGAAGAAGCACCGGAUAACGCCGCGACAGCAGCCGCGGUAAC
rnacentral:rRNA from 1 species